UCAAGCUAUUGAAUGGCUAAUGCAGGUGGUC
rnacentral:piRNA from 1 species